GGACAUAUGAAGAGAGAGACUGAGAGAUUUUGUCACCCAAUAACAUGACUUUUUCCAAGAAGAGAGUAAAGAUGAAGUAUGCUGGAGAGAUGGAAAGUGGUCAUUGGUAUUGAUAAGCAGCAAUGAAGCUGGCAAUCUUCACACCCAGUAACAAUGAAUAUGUUACUAAAUAUUCAGAUGAAUUGGAGCUUUAUCCUCAGUUCUCUGUCUGCAACACCUGCAGUAACAUCAUUGCAGAACUGGAAUUUUCCCUUGUUUCAACACUCCGCGGUCAUCAAACUAUUCUUCUGUAGCUGCUUUUGUUUCCUGAAAGUCCUGGGUCCUAGCUUGAGGUUCCAGGAGGCACUACAGGACAUCCGUCUACGUGAAAAGACAGUCCCUCCCCUAAAAUACAAAGGGAGGUUGAUUUGGCAAUUCUCCACAGAUAUUUCCAUUUCAUAGAUCAAGAAGACUGAUAAAGCACUAAAAAGAUGGUACCUGUAAUUUCUAUGAAUAUAUGCUGUAUGUGCUCAGUGGAUGUAAGCCUUGGGCCAACCAGUGUUAAUUGGCGCAGCCCCAUUGACUUUGGUUGAACACCAACAAGGGACAGAGAGAUCCUUUUGAUUCCCAAAGCUGUUAGUUACUCAAGCUGAAGCUAGACUGAUGUCUUGAUUUCAGCACUGGUGUGCUAAUUUGCUGACUGCAUUUAAUGACCCUGACAGCUCCUGAACCCACACAAAGAAACCUGAAUAAAGAAUUCACACUGUCGCUCUCUAAGGAGGUU
rnacentral:lncRNA from 1 species